UACGGAGGGUCCAAGCGUUAUCCGGAAUCAUUGGGUUUAAAGGGUCCGUAGGCGGUUUUGUAAGUCAGUGGUGAAAGCCCAUCGCUCAACGGUGGAACGGCCAUUGAUACUGCAAGACUUGAAUUAUUGGGAAGCAACUAGAAUAUGUAGUGUAGCGGUGAAAUGCUUAGAGAUUACAUGGAAUACCAAUUGCGAAGGCAGGUUGCUACCAAUACAUUGACGCUGAUGGACGAAAGCGUGGGGAG
rnacentral:rRNA from 1 species